CUUUAAUUUUUUUUCUUAAAAAUGGUGCACAUAUAUAAAUACAUAGAUAAGAAAAUAGAAGAAGAAAAAUCCAUGAAGGACUUGGAGUUAACUAGAAGUUGGUGGAAUUGAGCCCAAAGCUGAGGGCCUGUGAAGUGGGCUUGUUGGGCUAACUUUUUCUUUUCUUUUCUUUGGUUUUUUUUGUAAACACACCAUUAGAAAUUAUUCUCUUUGUCUAUUUUUUAUAUUUUUAUUUACUUUUAUUUUAAUUUUAGUUUUAGUUUUUAUAAUUUUUUAAAAGAACUUAAAUUUUUAUCACCA
rnacentral:lncRNA from 1 species